rnacentral:other from 1 species
GAAAGACUGCCUUGUUUGUGACUAUGUGGUUUUUUAUAAUCCAACACUCUUUUCUAGGGAAUUUAGCUCCGGGUGCGGAUUGCAGACCUCCCGCUUUUGCGGAGGAAGGGAGCGUGAACCAUUCGGGCGGAUACCCACCUUGCCUUUCGGCUUGGUUUUAUGUGCCACAAGACGGCAAGGCGGUUUUUUA